UACGUAGGGUGCAAGCGUUGUCCGGAAUUAUUGGGCGUAAAGAGCUCGUAGGCGGUCUGUCGCGUCUGCUGUGAAAACUCAGGGCUUAACCCUGAGCUUGCAGUGGGUACGGGCAGACUAGAGUGCGGUAGGGGAGACUGGAAUUCCUGGUGUAGCGGUGAAAUGCGCAGAUAUCAGGAGGAACACCGGUGGCGAAGGCGGGUCUCUGGGCCGUAACUGACGCUAAGGAGCGAAAGCAUGGGGAGCGAACAGG
rnacentral:rRNA from 1 species